GCACAAGCGGUGGAGCAUGUGGUUUAAUUCGACGCAACGCGCAGAACCUUACCAGCCCUUGACAUCCCGGUCGCGGAGAGCAGAGACGCACUCCUUCAGUUCGGCUGGACCGGAGACAGGUGCUGCAUGGCUGUCGUCAGCUCGUGUCGUGAGAUGUUGGGUUAAGUCCCGCAACGAGCGCAACCCUCGCCCUUAGUUGCCAUCAUUCAGUUGGGCACUCUAAGGGGACUGCCGGUGAUAAGCCGGAGGAAGGUGGGGAUGACGUCAAGUCCUCAUGGCCCUUACGGGCUGGGCUACACACGUGCUACAAUGGCGGUGACAGAGGGAUGCAAAGGGGCGACCCUUCGCAAAUCUCAAAAAGCCGUCUCAGUUCGGAUUGGGGUCUGCAACUCGACCCCAUGAAGUUGGAAUCGCUAGUAAUCGCAGAUCAGCACGCUGCGGUGAAUACGUUCCCGGGC
rnacentral:rRNA from 1 species